rnacentral:piRNA from 1 species
UAUCGAAAUAUAUUCCAGAUUAACCUU